rnacentral:snRNA from 1 species
GCAGCUUCUCUGCCUUUUUAGCUAAGAUCAUGUUUAGUAGCUGUUCUGAUCAGUUUAAUAUCUGAUACGUCCUCUAAAUGGGGACUAUAUAUUUGGGGCAGUCGUGGGCUGGAGGUUAGGGAACCGGCCCUGUGACUGGAAGCUAGCGGUUUGAUCCCCAGAGCCGACAGUAC